UGGCCAGAGAGCUUCCGGGCACGGACACAGGCAGCCCCAAGCCGGCUCUCUGGGGAGAGCAGACAGGCAGCAAGACGCCGCUCGGAAUGUCCCUCCAGCCCGGGACACCACGGCAGUCUCCCUGGUCCCCGCGGCACCGCCAGGCCAGCAGAUGGUAUGACCAGAUCAAGUUCUGCAAUGCCUUCCAGGGACUCUAUCCUGACUGGCUUCCAGAGGAACGGGCACUUACGUAAAGUAAACCUUCCUAAACUCCCAGAGAUACAAGCACCAACUCAACUGUUUUUCUAGUUCAUGUACUUGGGUAAAUCUUUGCUAAAUAAAACCAGCUUAAUAGUG